rnacentral:rRNA from 1 species
CGAAUGGAGAGAUUCAUCGUCAGCGAUCCUGGCACUUGUGCGGUUCGUGAUGCCGGGAACUUCGGUCCCGCGGCACGCGUCUGCAUGAUUUAUUUGCCGGGUGUCGUCGUCGUGCACUUCUCCCCUAGUAGGACGUCGCGACCCGUUGGGUGUCGGUCUACGACUCGGGUGGGAGCCUGUCAUGUGUUACGCUUCACGGCGUCAUGUGGCAGACCCCCGGUUGUCUGACCAGCUGCCCGGCGGUACUCGCACGGUAUCGAGUCGCAAUUAUUUGAACUGCGUCCGGCCCGCCGCAAGCGAGGCCAGUGUUUCCCGGAUGUACGGACUUAGCGCCGUCACCGGGCCUGGCCAGCUGUUGGCUGGCGGUGUCCUAGGACUGGCUCUAUGUAUACCGGUCGGCGACGCUACUGCUUUGGGUACUUUCAGGACCCGUCUUGAAACACGGACCAAGGAGUCUAACAUGUGCGCGAGUCAUUGGGAUCUGUUAAGCCUAAAGGCGCAAUGAAAGUGAAGGUAGGCCUUGCGCCAACCGAGGGAGGAUGGGCCGCGUUACGAUGCGGCCCCGCACUCCCGGGGCGUCUCGUUCUCAUUGCGAGAAGAGGCGCACCCAGAGCGUACACGUU